UCCCUGAUGGUCCAAUGGCUAAGACUCCACAUUCCCAAUGCAGGGGCCCAGGUUUGAUCCCUGGUCGAGGAA
rnacentral:tRNA from 1 species